UCCGCUGCGCAGGCAGCAGCGCCCGCCCCGGUCCGCCCCGCCCAGCCUUCCUCCUGGGCAACCGAGAGGAUGGUGUGAGGACUGCAGGAAGCCCCGAGAACUGGACCAAUGUGGCGUGGUUCUGUUUGGGGCAAGCAUGGCUGGAAGCUGGAGGAAUUCAUGGAAAGAAGGUUCUAUCAGGGACUGAGGCUUGGUAGGGUCCACUUUUCUAGGAGAAGGUUUCACUGGAGCGUGGACUAGGCCUGUUGAGAGGCUGGUGGCAUAAACAGGGUGCGAGAGGCCAGGGGGGCUUCAGCACCGUCCCCCACCCAGGAUAUCGUGAGCAGCUGCAGCAGCACAGACUCUGAUCUCACCAGGCCAACACCACCCCUGGGGCCCAGCAGUCAAGAGGUUCAGAGAGUCUUCAACUCAGCCAGCCCAGGAGCUGCCCAGCCCCCAGGAAAGAAAACCACUGAUGUCCCACCGGGCAGCAGCACUGAGAGAGGGGAAGCCCCAGCACACAUCACUCCGCAUGCUGCAAAAUAAGAACUCAGUCUGGAUCCUCGGUCGCUGAUCUGUGGACGCAUAAAUGGGACACACAUACAUGCAUGUGCACAUGCAACUUAAGUUAAGGGUAAUAAAUUCUGGUCACAUGAUUUUAAAAUUGAGAGCAGUGACAUAACAGCUGUUCAGUAAAUGUUUGUCAGUUGCUUGAUACAAAUGUUAGCAGAAUUUAGGCAGUGGGCCUUUCCCAUCCAGUUAAAGGAAAGGGAGGGGAGAAUCCAAGAGGGGAGAAGGGAAAGAGGAGGGGAAAGAGGCCAGACAGAGGGAGAUGGGGUGGCAGUGACAUGAGAUGAGUUGAAGGGGGGAAGCCCCUCAGUGUUGCUUGAGCCUCAGUCACCACGGGCACUGACCACCACAAGCACUGUCCCUUCCUAUGAUAACUGAGCACCUACUAUGUGCAGGCUCUUUACUUCCAUCAUUUAUUUUGACUUUCACAACAAACUUGGAAGAGGAGUACAAUUAGCCCCACUUUGCAGAGGAUAUACCUGAGGCUGAGAGUCUAAAUCCCACGGUUGAGCCCCACCCUCCCCCAGCCUCCACUCGUGUCCCUUGCUGGUGUGCCCGUGAGUGCCUGAACGGAGGGGAUCCUGGUGUCUUAUCUGCGUCCCAAAUUCCUAAUGCCUACCGUGAUGCCUGGCACACAGUAGGCCCUUCCUCAAUAAAUGUGCAACGAAUGAGAGAGAAGAUUUGGGACGGGCGCUGGGGAGAGCUACUGCACUGCUAGUGAGACAGAAGGAAAGGAAAGAAAAGCUGAGGAUGCCAAGCCAGGCACCUGGUCCUGAGGGAGCUGUGCUUCUGCAGCACCCACUGGGCAGGCAAAGCUGGGCUCGUGCCAUCCGAUGUGGGUCUGCGCUUGCACUGCCGGCUCUCCUGCAGGCUGCCUUACAGUGAAGCCCGGUGAGGAAAGCGGGAGUGGAAGAGGCACAGUCAAGGUAGGGGCCAGCCAGGCCGUGCCAGACCCGCCGUGGCUGUGGCAGCUGGUGCAUUCUAUGCUCCAGCCACUGUUCUCCCGCUGGCUGCUCUCAGGGAUCACCCAGGGAGCUUUGAAAACAACUGCAGCUCCAGCUCCACCCUCAGAACUUCUGCAUUAAUUGGUCUGGGAAGGGGCCGAGGCAGCAGAAUUUAUUAAGUCCCCCAGGAAACUCUAAUGUGCUGCUCGAGUUGAAGACCACUGCAGGCCCAACCUCCCACUUAAGGGGGAAAGAGGAGAAAACAUUCAUCAGGCCCUUACUGUGUGCUGCCCACUGCCCCACAAGGUAGAUAUCCUCAUGCCCUGCAGUCCCCCAGGCCACAGACUGGUACCACUCCAUGGCCUGUUAGGAAUCAGGCCACACAGCCAGAGAUGAGUGGCAAGGGAGGCAGUGAAGCUUCACCGGUAUUUAUAGCCACUCCCCAUCGCUCGCAUCACCACCUGAGUUCCACCUCCUGUCAGAUUAGCAGUAACGUUAGGUUCUCAUAGCACAAACCCCACUGUAAACUGCGCAUGCGAGGGGUCUAGGUUGCACGUUCCUUAUGAGAAUCUAAUGCCUGAUGCUCUGA